GCAUCGCUGAGGCGUCCCAUACUAGGACGAAACGGCCGUCCAGUGC
rnacentral:hammerhead_ribozyme from 1 species